CGCGGGAUUAGAGUUUGAUCAUGGCUCAGAUUGAACGCUGGCGGCAGGCCUAACACAUGCAAGUCGAGCGGUAACAGGAAUUAGCUUGCUAAUUCGCUGACGAGCGGCGGACGGGUGAGUAAUGCCUGAGAAUAUGCCUUAGUGUGGGGGAUAACUAUUGGAAACGAUAGCUAAUACCGCAUAACGUCUUCGGACCAAAGAGGGGGAUCUUCGGGCCUCUCGCGCUAAGAUUAGCCCAGGUGAGAUUAGCUAGUUGGUGAGGUAAGAGCUCACCAAGGCGACGAUCUCUAGCUGGUCUGAGAGGAUGAUCAGCCACACUGGAACUGAGACACGGUCCAGACUCCUACGGGAGGCAGCAGUGGGGAAUAUUGCACAAUGGGCGCAAGCCUGAUGCAGCCAUGCCGCGUGUAUGAAGAAGGCCUUCGGGUUGUAAAGUACUUUCAGUGGGGAGGAAGGUGUUGUCGUUAAUAGCGGCAGCAUUUGACGUUACCCACAGAAGAAGCACCGGCUAACUCCGUGCCAGCAGCCGCGGUAAUACGGAGGGUGCGAGCGUUAAUCGGAAUUACUGGGCGUAAAGCGCAUGCAGGUGGUUCAUUAAGUCAGAUGUGAAAGCCCGGGGCUCAACCUCGGAACCGCAUUUGAAACUGGUGAACUAGAGUGCUGUAGAGGGGGGUAGAAUUUCA
rnacentral:rRNA from 1 species